UACGUAGGGGGCAAGCGUUAUCCGGAUUUACUGGGUGUAAAGGGGGCGCAGACGGCGAUGCAAGCCAGGAGUGAAAGCCCGGGGCCCAACCCCGGGACUGCUCUUGGAACUGCGUGGCUGGAGUGCAGGAGGGGCAGGCGGAAUUCCUGGUGUAGCGGUGAAAUGCGUAGAUAUCAGGAGGAACACCGGUGGCGAAGGCGGCCUGCUGGACUGCAACUGACGUUGAGGCACGAAAGCGUGGGGAGCAAACAGG
rnacentral:rRNA from 1 species